GAUGAACGCUGGCGGCGUGCCUAAUACAUGCAAGUCGAGCGAACAGACGAGGAGCUUGCUCCUCUGACGUUAGCGGCGGACGGGUGAGUAACACGUGGAUAACCUACCUAUAAGACUGGGAUAACUUCGGGAAACCGGAGCUAAUACCGGAUAAUAUAUUGAACCGCAUGGUUCAAUAGUGAAGGGCGGUUUUGCUGUCACUUAUAGAUGGAUCCGCGCCGCAUUAGCUAGUUGGUAAGGUAACGGCUUACCAAGGCAACGAUGCGUAGCCGACCUGAGAGGGUGAUCGGCCACACUGGAACUGAGACACGGUCCAGACUCCUACGGGAGGCAGCAGUAGGGAAUCUUCCGCAAUGGGCGAAAGCUUGACGGAGCAACGCCGCGUGAGUGAUGAAGGUCUUCGGAUCGUAAAACUCUGUUAUUAGGGAAGAACAAAUGUGUAAGUAACUAUGCACGUCUUGACGGUACCUAAUCAGAAAGCCACGGCUAACUACGUG
rnacentral:rRNA from 1 species